AGAGCUGUGAGAAAAUACAUUUGAGAUGUUCAAGCUGCCCAAUGUCUGGUCAUUUGUUACAAAAGAUAUGGAAAAUCAACGCACCAGUAACUGGAGAAAAUUGAUCACGACUGAAAGGCAGUGGGCAAAACGUACUGUUGUAGGUCAGCCCAGACCAGAAACUGAAAAGAGAUCAUGGGAAGGCAUAUCGGGGACGGAGCCCACGCUUCAGGGCCAUUCUGCUGGGCUUUCCUACAGUGACCUCACCAUCACCACCACCACCGACAACGACAUCACAGCCCCGACCUCACCAUCACCACCACCAAUGACAACACUACAGCCCUGACCUCACCAUCACCACCACCAACAACGACAUCACAGCCCUGACCUCACCAUCACCACCACCAAUGACAACACUACAGCCCUGACCUCACCAUCACCACCACCAAUGACAAUGACAUCACAGCCCCGACCUCACCAUCACCACCACCAAUGACGAUGCUACAGCCCCGACCUCACCAUCACCACCACCAAUGACAAUGACAUAACAUCCCCGACCUCACCAUCACCACCAAUGACAACGACAUCACAGCCCCGACCUCACCAUCACCACCAAUGACAAUGACAUCACAGCCCUGACCUCACCAUCACUACCACCAAUGACAACGACAUCACAGCCCCAACCUCACCAUUACCACCACCAACAACAAUGACAUCAUGGCCCACAGGUGGCCAAACCCUUCAAUCACCUGCAAACCAGCGACCCUCACUUUUGCUUCUGAAACUUAUAAAAGCAAAAACAAAAAAACAGAUUCUCAAACCCAAACCGUGGCAAUUCUGGUUCAGCAGGUG
rnacentral:lncRNA from 1 species